GAUGAACGCUGGCGGCGUGCCUAAUACAUGCAAGUCGAGCGAACGGACGAGAAGCUUGCUUCUCUGAUGUUAGCGGCGGACGGGUGAGUAACACGUGUAUAACCUACCUAUAAGACUGGGAUAACUUCGGGAAACCGGAGCUAAUACCGGAUGAUAUCUUGAACCGCAUGGUUCAAAAGUGAAAGACGGUCUUGCUGUCACUUAUAGAUGGAUCCGCGCUGCAUUAGCUAGUUGGUAAGUUAACGGCUUACCAAGGCAACGAUGCAUAGCCGACCUGAGAGGGUGAUAGGCCACACUGGAACUGAGACACGGUCCAGACUCCUACGGGAGGCAGCAGUAGGGAAUCUUCCGCAAUGGGCGAAAGCCUGACGGAGCAACGCCGCGUGAGUGAUGAAGGUCUUCGGAUCGUAAAACUCUGUUAUUAGGGAAGAACAUAUGUGUAAGUAACUGUGCACAUCUUGACGGUACCUAAUCAGAAAGCCACGGCUAACUACGUG
rnacentral:rRNA from 1 species